GAAAUGCGAUAAGUAGUGUGAAUUGCAGAAUUCAGUGAAUUAUCGAAUCUUUGAACGCACAUUGCGCCCCUUGGUAUUCCAUGGGGCAUGCCUGUUCGAGCGUCAUUUGUACCCUCAAGCUUUGCUUGGUGUUGGGCGUCUUGUCCUCUUCUGGAGGACUCGCCUCAAAACAAUUGGCAGCAGGCAUAUUGGUAUAGGAGCGCAGAACAAGUCGAACUUUGUUCCAUGAAGGUUGGCAUCCAUCAAGACCAUUUUUUCACUCUUGAACUCGGAUCAGGUAGGGAUAACCGCUGAACUUAA
rnacentral:misc_RNA from 1 species